UACGGAGGGUGCAAGCGUUAUCCGGAUUCACUGGGUUUAAAGGGUGCGUAGGCGGGUAAGUAAGUCCGUGGUGAAAUCUCGGAGCUUAACUCCGAAACUGCAUUCGAUACUGCCGUGCUUGAGGACUGGAGAGGAGACUGGAAUUUACGGUGUAGCGGUGAAAUGCGUAGAUAUCGUAAGGAAGACCAGUGGCGAAGGCGGGUCUCUGGACAGUUCCUGACGCUGAGGCACGAAGGUCAGGGGAGCAAACGGG
rnacentral:rRNA from 1 species